rnacentral:rRNA from 1 species
GACGAACCGUGCGAACGUUAUUCGGAAUCACUGGCUUAAAGCGCGUGUAGGCGGGUCGGUGCGUCGGCCGCUGAAAUCCCCGGCUCAACCGGGAAGGGCGCCGAUACGACCGGCCUGGAGCGACGUAGGGGGGACUGGAACUUCCGGUGGAGCGGUGAAAUGCGCAGAUAUCAGGAGGAACACCCGUAGCGAAGGCGGCACUCUGGGCCGAUACUGACACUGAGGAGCGAAAGCGUGGGGAGCGAACAGG